UUGUACUGCGAAGGCAAGAAAAGCGCAUGGAGAAAGGAGUCCCUGAACUCUCAGCGCCCUCUGCUGGAAGGCGACGAUGCUACACGCGUGCUCUCGGGAAGGCCGUGCUGCAGUCCUGCUCAAACCGCUUCUUCACAACAGAAACUGCAGCAGAUAACGUUUUCUGAGUGUUUGCUAUGCUCAAGGCACUGCACUAGGUUGAUUCAAAUCAAUCCUCACUGCUACCCUAUGAGGUCGGUUCAUUAUUAUUCCUAUUUUACCGAGGGAAAAACUGAGGCUCCAAGAUUCCUGCUCUUGCCUGAAGUCUCACAGCUAGGGCACCAGAGAAUAGCUACUGAGCUCUCAUACAGAAGCAAAAUCUUGAACUCAUUAUUACUCAAUGGUUAUCCUAAACUCAGAUGAGAUACAUGUUGCUCUUGGACAAAGGCUUAAAGGAUAUCUGGCUGUGAGCGGCGAGAGGGCCAGCGGCGGGUCUCCGUCAUCCCUGCGCCCCGAGCACCUAGCUCAGGCUUGGCACCGGGCAGGAGCGCAAGGACCAUCAGUGGAAGGAUGAGUGCGGGACCCAGGCGUCCUCCCAGCGGCUCCUGAGACUUUGCCCCACGGAGCUCCAGACAAAGGACCCCCGCCACACAGGGCUUCCAGGAGGAAGGGAAAGGGCAGCCCGCAUCACCGCCAGCCUCCAUCCACCCACUCAGAGUUACUCUGAAAUGUGAGUUACGACACACGGUGCCCUCAGGUCUCCAGCGGCGUCCCACGCCUUUGGCACGAAGCCAGAGCCCCUCCAGCGGCCCCAAGACCCUCCCACUAGUCUCCAGUUCACCAGGUCCCAAACCUGCCUCUUCGUGGUUUGUUGCCCAGGAGAUUUGUGGAGCUCCCUCUCUUCCCCAUCAGGGGCCCGCCUGACCCUCUGCUAUGGAAGGGAGCUCCACACCACCACCUCCCCCGAGACUGGCUUUAUGUUCCCUCCUGGACCAACCACCUGCCAAUACACCGAGUAUCUGCCGGUUUACGAUCGGCCGGGCAGGCACACUGGACGGUGAACCUGCCACCCCACCCCAGGCCCCGCACAGUCUGGCACACACUGGUGCUCAGUAAGUAUUGGCCGAAUCGAUGGAUGAAUGGAUUCCAUGGCCAGUGAGCUCAGGGUGCCAGGUCAUGCAAGUGACAUGAGUCAGGAGCCCAAAGUAUGUCACAAUUUGCAGCUACAAAGAAUGCAGAAAAAAGAGAACAAAGGUCCACUUCCCUCAGGCAAACAAGGCCAUUGAGGCUUCCCUCACCACAUUCUCGGCACCUGGCUCUGUUUAGGCUCUCAUUCGGCCAGUGUUUACUGAGCACCUACUAAGUGCCAGGCCCUGUUCCUGGCUCUGGCUCACUUUCCUCCCCUGGAUCUCUGCACAGCCUCCCCUCUGCCCCACUCCAUUCUGUCAGUCACCCCCACUGGGGGCAGUAAACAAGAGGAUGCUGGCAAGUGCCUGACACGUAGCGGGUAUUCAGGAGGCAUCGUUAGGAUCAUUAUGUAUCACACGAUUUCUCAUGCUUUAUCGUCACUUCAAGUGGGCUCGUCUGUCCCCCACCCCCCGACAUUAAGUUCCUAGCACAAUGCCUGGCACAAGUUAAGUACUGAACAUCUCUUGAAGGGAGGAAGGAAUAUUAUCAGCUAGGUCAGAGUACGUGGAAGACAGUUUCUGUAAGUAAAACUUCACAAUCUGAUAGGAAAGUGCUAAUUUGAUCAUACGCUUCUGAGGUGCCCCCAAACCAAAGUGGUUUGUUUUUAGUAAAAGAGGGUCGUUUGCUUUUGGAUCCUCCUAGAGAAUAAACACAUGCUGCUAUGGUACAGCCAAUCCUGGACUCUGGGUGGAAUGAACAUGAACGUGAGUGGCCGGGACAGCCCCGUGUGGCCAGCACAGGGUCGCUCCAGGGGAGCUGUGUGUCCUCAGCACCCACCACUCCAGGGUUUGGUCAGAAACUUCCUCUGCUGCUAACCCCAGGAGAAUGACGCUUAUGUUCUCAGGAACAGAAAAGCAAUAACUGUGAGAUGCGUAUAGAAACCAUCAUCGAAGGCACAUGAAGUGCUUGGACUGUACCCACUGAAAGCCUUGGAGACACAAGUCCCAAAGGGUCUGACGCAGUUGGUGGUGCUUGCAGGGGAGACCCCGGGAAGCUGUGACAGCCCAGGCACUGAGGUUUCAUCCCUGCACGUGACCUGAUGUCCCCCAGCCAGGCCCAGCCUCUAGCAGGGGGCUUGGAUUAGAGCAGCUGUUUUAGUAGGGCCAAAUCUAAGUGGGACCAUUCUAGACUUACUAAAAACAUGACAACUCCAUUUUUCCCUUCCAUAUUCUCUUGAUUUUCAUUGUACUCACUGUCUGGACCCCAGUGGCCUUUCACUGGUUGCCCAGGAAGAGCUGUGAUCUGGGCACAGGGACCAUGGGAGAAAGAGCUCGGUCCCACGACUGAAGACACUGGGACAAAGGCUCAGGAAGAUCAUAAGUGUGAAGCCUGUUACAGUUCUGUGGGGAUGCCACGGCCUGCUCUUGGCUCCCAGCUCGGCCGGGAAGGGCUGAGUCAGAGGCUCUGUGGCCGGGAAGAUGCCGGCAGACAGCCAGGCUCUCUCUUCCGACCGGGGGCUCCGGCAGCCCGUCUGGCUCCAGAAUAUCAGAGCUUUACUGCCACGUCCUGGAAAUGCAAUCCCAUCCUGACUGGCAUGCCGGCUGCUUGGGAGACCUUGAAUUUUCCAUGGCACCUGCUUAUGAGUUGUCCGGAGACAAUGCCAAUCUAUAUGACCUGAGAAGAAGUUGGCAAGGCUGCAGGAGAGGAACUUAUGGGACAGAUAAGGGGCAGCUGGGGAUUAUUAGGAUUCAAAAAAGAGAAAAAGAAAGAAAGAUGUGACCUAAAUACUUUUGGGUAUGAGGUGGCGUUAAGAAAAGAGAAAGAAAAGAAAAAGAAAAACUGAAAUUGAUGUACACUUGUAAACCUCCAACCAGCACACUUAGAGCCAAACAAGCCACAGAUGUCAGAACUAUGCCUUCUUUCUAGAAAGCCCAUCAGAACACUCAACACAACCCACUUUCUCUUCUCAAAGAAGUAGGGAGGGCCUCCAUCAUAGCUGGUGGACAAGAAUGGGUUAUUAUGAGAACAGAACUGACAUUUACUGACUACUCACUAUGUGCCAGGCGUUGUUCUAGAACUUCACACCUGUUACCUCCUCCACAAUGAAACACAAUAAGAACCAUUAUCCCAUUUUAUAGUGGAGGAGACUGAGGUUAAUCCUGUAAUGAGAUCACACCACGAGCCUUGCUCUUAACUGCCAGAGUGACCGUGGUCCCCAAACAGAUAACCAAAUGCCAAGCUGGGGCCUCUCUAACCAGAGAGCCCUUGAGGGUCCUGCUCUGGGUGAGAACGUACCUGGCAGAAGCUUCUCCAGCUCCUUCUCAGGGUUUGCG